AACCUCUCAGGGUCGCGCCUGGAGAGUUUCCAGUCCUCUACCAGUCUCGACUAUGGGAGGUUGAGUCAAGCAGAGGCCAACCCAUUCCAUUCCUACCUCGGGCCGUAGCUAGCGAGUGGAAGGCCAUCUGCAACAAGU